GUCUUUUUUUGGUAAAUUCUCUAAAAUAAAUAUGAUCUAAGUUAAGGUUUGGUUGGAUUGUACCGGAACAUUAUGAGUAUAAGUGAAGAGUUGUAACUUUUAUUUACAAUUGAUAAAUUGUAAAUAAACUACAUAUCUAAGACCAUCUCUAUUGGGAGUAUCUCAUAAGAGUUUCUCACAAUUAAAAAAAUAAAAAUAAUGAAAAUGAAGGAGAGAGAGUGUAGAAAGUUUCUCACUUGAGAAACUCUGAGAUAGUCUCUACAACCCAUCAUGACAAUUAUCAUCUUACUAUUGGUUUAAUUUUUUAACAAAAAUAUUUUUUUAAUCAAAUAAUCAAAUUAUAAUAUAAUAUUAAUAUU
rnacentral:sRNA from 1 species